UUCAGAGUCUUUGGCUUUGGUUUAGCCAGAAUUGGCCGGCAUAUCGAUAAUGCUCUGAAAUGUUGAUGACCUAUCGAUAAGUCAUCGAUAUGGGUCUGAUGGCGAAGUUUCCGCAUGUGAGCUGGAAAGAGAGCGACAUUUAUUUGUAAACAAUAGGAAAAUAUAGAUGCCUUGCAGGAACAUGGCGAGUUCAUGAACGGUGGAGUAUUCUGGCGACGACAGAGUAAAGCUGUUGGGUCGAAAACAGCUGGCGACCUUUGGCAGAUUUUGUUGCUGCAAGGUUUUUCGAAACGAUCCGUUUUGCAUUUUUGUUGGUGUUGCUGCCCGACCGGGUUUGCUUGCAGGUAAGUGUUUGUUGAUUAAUUUAAUUUUUUGUUUGUUUUCAGGUACUGGUGAUUUGGCUUUGGCCAGUUUUGUUGGCCGCAUGUUCGUAUUUGGUACGUCUAGUGUAUAAAUAGGGGUUGCUGCUGUAGGCGAGUAAUUUACAGGUGCAGGCGCAUUAGUUGCACCCAAUGGGGCGGCUGCCAGACGAGAUUUAGCACCAGAAAGAGUAGGGCUGCAAAAGGUGCUGCUAAAGACUGCAGCUGGCUUUCAGAUAAGUUUAUGGUUUUUUUAGAGCGAUUUUUUGUUGAUAUUUUUUGGCUUUUAGGUGUAGCCGCUGCUUGAGGACCAGGACCUGCUGCUGCU